rnacentral:rRNA from 1 species
GUAGGGAAUAUUGGGCAAUGGGGGCAACCCUGACCCAGCAACGCCGCGUGAGGGAAGAAGGUUCUCUGGAUUGUAAACCUCUGUCCUAUGGGACGAAGAAGUGACGGUACCAUAGGAGGAAGCUCCGGCUAACUACGUGCCAGCAGCCGCGGUAAUACGUAGGGAGCGAGCGUUGUCCGGAAUUACUGGGCGUAAAGGGUGCGUAGGCGGCCUGGUAAGUCAGAUGUGAAAUACCCGUGCUCAACAUGGGGGGUGCAUCUGAUACUGUUAGGCUUGAGUGCAGGAGAGGAAAGCGGAAUUCCUAGUGUAGCGGUGAAAUGCGUAGAUAUUAGGAGGAACACCAGUGGCGAAGGCGGCUUUCUGGACUGUAACUGACGCUGAGGCACGAAAGCGUGGGGAGCAAACAGGA